ACGAGAAGCUUGCUUCUCUGAUGUUAGCGGCGGACGGGUGAGUAACACGUGGAUAACCUACCUAUAAGACUGGGAUAACUUCGGGAAACCGGAGCUAAUACCGGAUAAUAUUUUGAACCGCAUGGUUCAAAAGUGAAAGACGGUCUUGCUGUCACUUAUAGAUGGAUCCGCGCUGCAUUAGCUAGUUGGUAAGGUAACGGCUUACCAAGGCAACGAUGCAUAGCCGACCUGAGAGGGUGAUCGGCCACACUGGAACUGAGACACGGCCAGACUCCUACGGGAGGCAGCAGUAGGGAAUCUUCCGCAAGGGCGAAAGCCUGACGGAGCAACGCCGCGUGAGUGAUGAAGGUCUUCGGAUCGUAAAACUCUGUUAUUAGGGAAGAACAUAUGUGUAAGUAACUGUGCACAUCUUGACGGUACCUAAUCAGAAAGCCACGGCUAACUACGUGCCAGCAGCCGCGGUAAUACGUAGGUGGCAAGCGUUAUCCGGAAUUAUUGGGCGUAAAGCGCGCGUAGGCGGUUUUUUAAGUCUGAUGUGAAAGCCCACGGCUCAACCGUGGAGGGUCAUUGGAAACUGGAAAACUUGAGUGCAGAAGAGGAAAGUGGAAUUCCAUGUGUAGCGGUGAAAUGCGCAGAGAUAUGGAGGAACACCAGUGGCGAAGGCGACUUUCUGGUCUGUAACUGACGCUGAUGUGCGAAAGCGUGGGGAUCAAACAGGAUUAGAUACCCUGGUAGUCCACGCCGUAAACGAUGAGUGCUAAGUGUUAGGGGGUUUCCGCCCCUUAGUGCUG
rnacentral:rRNA from 1 species